UCCAUAUCCGGGCCGAAUCUCGCGGGCGGAUAGCCGCGCCGCGGGAACGGGGGACCCACUCCUCGGGGGCUAAUCUCGGACGAUAUCCGAGAGGGAUGCACGCUUCUCUGCCAUCCUGCCCGUCAGCUAACCCCGUAGGCUAACGCAGAGAAGGCCA
rnacentral:sRNA from 2 species